rnacentral:lncRNA from 1 species
AAUUCUUGUGCCCCAGUGAAAACGGGAAUGAAUUGACCUAGUAACUACCUAUUGUUCAGGUACCCUCUUCUAUUAACUCCCUUCUUUCUUAAAUUGUUACAAGUUACUCUGUCAGAAAUAAUUAUACUCCCUGCUUCUGGGGCUUGCUAAUGAAAUGCUAGGAUAUUUUAGCUUCUACAGAAGUCAUUCAGGUGAACAUCCGGCUAUUUGCAGGAGGGUGUCUGGUUAUUCAAAUAGUAGAGAGUGUGUUUCUGGGCAGUACAUCGUACUAAAGGAAGGAAGAGGAAGGUACUGUGUGUACUAGGUCCUGUGGAAUGGCCUGUGGAGGAUCUCUGCCACACACAGAAAGUCCUGAGCUGGAAGAGAUUUGGUAUGUGGAAUCAGAAGCAGAGAUCCACUUCAAUUCUGUUGGUGAACAAGACACACUGGCUUUAAAUUUUAAAAACAAGUUAAAAAUAGGCACCACUGUAAUGGACAUUUCUGUUUGUUUUGUGGUUGCAUUGUAAUGCAAAGUAGGAAGGUUAUUUUUUCAUAGUUUCCUGUUCUGAAUUUCAUCUCAGAAAUGAGAUACUGAUAACUCUCAAUGGGAUUUUUUGUGGUCAGACGUUAGAAAUAAAUAUUUGCUCCACAAGUUUGCA